rnacentral:rRNA from 1 species
GAUGAACGCUGGCGGCGUGCUUAACACAUGCGAGUCGAACGAGAAAUGUAGACGGACACCUUCGGGCGGAAGCCUUCAUUUCGAGUGGCGGACGGGUGAGUAACGCGUGGGUAACCUGCCUCAUACAGGGGGAUAACAGUUGGAAACGACUGUUAAUACCGCAUAAGACCACAGCAUCGCAUGAUGCGGGGGUAAAAACUCCGGUGGUAUGAGAUGGACCCGCGUUCGAUUAGCCAGUUGGCGGGGUAACGGCCCACCAAAGCGACGAUCGAUAGCCGAUCUGAGAGGAUGACCGGCCACAUUGGGACUGAGACACGGCCCAAACUCCUACGGGAGGCAGCAGUGGGGAAUAUUGCACAAUGGGGGAAACCCUGAUGCAGCGACGCCGCGUGAGUGAAGAAGUACUUCGGUAUGUAAAGCUCUAUCAGCAGGGAAGAAAAUGACGGUACCUGAGUAAGAAGCCCCGGCUAACUACGUG